rnacentral:rRNA from 1 species
AGGGAUCAUUACUGAGUGAGGGCUCACGCCCGACCUCCAACCCUCUGUGAACACAUCUUGUUGCUUCGGGGGCGACCCUGCCGGCACUACGUCGCCGGGCGCCCCCGAAGGUCUCCAAACACUGCAUCUUUGCGUCGGAGUUUAAACAAAUUAAACAAAACUUUCAACAACGGAUCUCUUGGUUCUGGCAUCGAUGAAGAACGCAGCGAAAUGCGAUAAGUAAUGUGAAUUGCAGAAUUCAGUGAAUCAUCGAAUCUUUGAACGCACAUUGCGCCCUUUGGUAUUCCGAAGGGCAUGCCUGUUCGAGCGUCAUUUCACCACUCAAGCCUGGCUUGGUAUUGGGCGUCGCGGCUCCGCGCGCCUUAAAGUCUCCGGCUGAGCCAUUCGUCUCUAAGCGUUGUGGAUUUUCUAAUUCGCUUCGGAGUGCGGGUGGCCGCGGCCGUUAAAUCUUUCUUAAGGUUGACCUCGGAUCAGGUAGGGAUA